AAACGAUGCCAACCAGCAAUCCGCCUGAGUUCCUUAAAUGACUCGGCGGGCGGCUUCCGGGAAACCAAAGUUUUUCGGUUCCGGGGGAAGUAUGGUUGCAAAGCUGAAACUUAAAGGAAUUGACGGAAGGGCACCACCAGGAGUGGAGCCUGCGGCUUAAUUUGACUCAACACGGGAAAACUUACCCGGCCCGGACACUGGAAGGAUUGACAGAUUGAGAGCUCUUUCUUGAUUCAGUGGGUGGUGGUGCAUGGCCGUUCUUAGUUGGUGGAGCGAUUUGUCUGGUUAAUUCCGAUAACGAACGAGACUCUAGCCUACUAAAUAGACCAGAGGCUUCUUAAAACACGUCUCUGGCUGCUUCUUAGAGGGACAGGCGGCGGUUCAGCCGCACGAAACAGAGCAAUAACAGGUCUGUGAUGCCCUUAGAUGUCCGGGGCCGCACGCGCGCUACACUGAAGUGAUCAGCGUGCUUUUUGUACCCUGCUCUGCCAAGAGUGGGUAACCCAAUGAACCUUCUUCGUGAUUGGGAUAGGGGAUUGUAAUUAUUCCCCUUGAACGAGGAAUUCCCAGUAAGCGCGAGUCAUAAGCUCGCGUUGAUUACGUCCCUGCCCUUUGUACACACCGCCCGUCGCUACUACCGAUUGAAUGAUUUAGUGAGGUCUUCAGACUGGCCGGUGCAGCUACUCUCACGGGUGGC
rnacentral:rRNA from 1 species